AUUGAACGCUGGCGGCAGGCCUAACACAUGCAAGUCGAGCGGACGAACGGAGCUCGCUCCUCGCUUCCGUGGCGGACGGGCGAGUAAUGCCUAGGAAUCUGCCCGGUCGUGGGGGCUAACGUCCGGUCACGGGCCCUAAUCCCGCACACGACCUGAGGGUGAAAGUGAUGGAUCUUUAGACCUAAAGCUAUCUGCUGAGCCUAAGUCGGAUUAGCUAGUUGGUGAGGUAAAGGCCUACCAAGGCGACGAUCCGUAACUGGUCUGAGAGGAUGAUCAGUCACACUGGAACUGAGACACGGUCCAGACUCCUACGGGAGGCAGCAGUAGGGAAUAUUGCGCAAUGGGCGAAAGCCUGAUCGAGCCAUGCCGCGUGUGUGAAGAAGGUCUUCGGAUCGUAAAGCACUUUAAGUUGGGAAGAAGGAAUGUGAAAGUAUAUAUGCCUGUUUUGACGUUACCUACAGAGAAAGCAACGGCUAACUACGUG
rnacentral:rRNA from 1 species